GGUGCUAUAGUGUAGUGGUUAUCACUCGGGAUUUUGAUUCUAGUAUUUGUAGGACUAUUCCCGAAACCCAGGUUCGAACCCUGGUAGCACCU